UUUUUAACCUCUCAUUGAGGCAAGUGUAACAGGACACUGCCCUCCGUCGCCACAAGCUCAGCCCCUUGUAGGAGAAUAUAAGAAGGCAGAGACUCGGCUCAGAGUGUGUGUGAGAGACUGUGUGUGAGAGAGAGUACGUAUAAGAGAGUGUGUGUGUGUGUGUGUGUGUGUGAGAGAGAGACAGAGUGUGUGUCUGACUGCGUCAGAGGGGCUGCGGAACAGGGGGAACAGGGGAGCCAGAGAGGGAUAGAAAGCCAGCGAGGAAGGAAGAGAGAGACAAAUGUUGAGGCGGACAGAGGGGACAAAAGGAGAAAGUCAGCUUCGUGGUGCUUUGUAACAUGGGUUUGUAGUGUCUUUCGGUAGGGCUUAGCUGUGAGAGCGAGUCGGCAACGGUGUCUCCAGUAUGCUGGGAAACCACCUUUAGACCAGAGAGAGAGAAGGGAGAGAGAGAGAGAGAGAGAAUGUGUGUGCUGGCUUCACCACAGCGCUGUCACUUUAAGCCUGUUACUGAUUACACUCAGAAGAAUGCAACCAGAGGAGUAGAAGACAGACACACAAAGUGGAGAGAGACGUGUAAGGACGGAUUCUGAAAAGUCUGGUUUAGUUUAGUUUCAGAGAAACGGUAAAGCUUUGGAGGAGUUAGAGAGACAAUACUCUCUCUUUUUCUCAGAGAGAAGCCAACUGAAGGGGAACCCCAGAAUAUCUGAGAGGGGGAGGGGGUAACAGACAGAGUGAAAGAAAGAGAAAUAAAAGGAGAGAAAUGGAGAGAAAGGGAGAGGGGGACCCCUCAAGUCUGCUGAGAAGCUCCCAGUCGUCAGGAGGAAAUGAUCAGAGAGGGUAAACAGGAGCUCCUGGCAUGAACACAAUGACUACACAGACAAGAACAACUGUCUUACAGAAUGAAGACCACAACUACGAAGAUGGGGACUAUUCCAAGCAGCAGAACAGUUAACAUGGAUCCUUCAUCCGUAUCAAAGAGGACGGCCCUCGUCCAUCUUCCGGC